ACCAAUACCAGUGGCAAUUGUCAAGCUUAACUUCCAGUCAGAGCCAAAGUAAACAGCAAUUCAGAAACAAAGUUAAAGUGUAGAAAAACCUUCACUGAGACUGCAUCUGGUUGGAGCUCAUUAUUCCCAGUGACAGAUGAAAUGAAUGAAGAGAAAGACUGAUGCUGGCAACAGUCAGACCCAUAUUCCAGGUCUCUGCUCAGCUUUACUUAAGGCACCACCUUCCUCUCUGGCCAGGCAG